GUUUUAAUAAUUUAAUAAAAAUAUUAGUCUUGUAAACUAAAAAUAAAAUUUUUUUUUAAAACU
rnacentral:tRNA from 1 species